rnacentral:sRNA from 1 species
CCAUAGCCCUGAUCGAAGCGUUAUCCUUUUGUGGUGGGGUUAGCCACAAAAGAUUAAGCGGAGAGCAGGAAACAGC